GGCAAUGUGGCCUGGUGGAAAAGGCAUGGGCCUGGGAGUUAAAGGACCUGGGUUCUAAUCCCGGCUCUGCCA
rnacentral:tRNA from 1 species